rfam:Oryza sativa Japonica Group DNA, chromosome 4, cultivar: Nipponbare, complete sequence.
AGAACGAGUAAUUUUACACUGUUUAUGUUUAACGUUUGACCGUUUGUUUUAUUUGAAAAUUUUGUAUGAUUAGUAUUUUUAUUGUUAUUAGAUGAUAAAACGUGAAUAUUACUUUACGUGUGACUAAUUUUUUAAAAAUUUUCAUCAAUUUUCUAGAUAAGACGAACGGUCAAACGUUGUAUAUGGAUACCCACGAAUGCAUUUAUU